rnacentral:rRNA from 1 species
GAUGAACGCUGGCGGCGUGCCUAAUACAUGCAAGUCGAACGAACAGACGAUCAGCUUUGUCGUCGGAUUUAGGCGGGAGACGGUUGAUUAAACCGUGGUAAACUGACCUAUACGCCUGGGUUAAUGUCUGAAAAGGCGGGCUAUACGCGGUGUAUCUAUUGGUCCGCAUGGGUCAGGAGUGGAUGGCUGCUUUUCUGUCACUUUUGGAGGGGUCUGCGCCGCCUUAGCUAGUUGGUAAGGUAACGGCUUACCAAGGCAACGAUGCGUAGCCGGCCGGCGUGGGUGAGCGGCCAGCCUGGAAGUGAGACACGGACGAGACUCCGACGGGAGGCAGCAGUCGGGAGUCGUUAGCAAUGGGCGAAAGCCUGACGGAGGAAGGGCGCGUGAGUGAUGAAGGUAUUCGGAUCGUAAAACUCUGUUAUUAGGGAAGAACAAAUGUGUAAGUAACUGUGCACGGGUUGACGGUAGCUGAUCAGAAAGCGACGGCUAACUACGUG